GAUUCUAACGAAGAUGUUUACUCAUUAAAAAGUGCUAAGUAAAUCAGCCCUCAAAACGAUUCAAAGAUUACAACUGAAUAAAAAAAAAAACAAAAACAAAAAGAAUAAAAAAAUAAAAAUAAUGAUUAGGCGCGGUUUUUCCACUUUUCGAGUCAUACAAUAUGCUUUUUUUAAGAAAGAGCCCCUCCAUCACAGAGUUAUUUCUUCUGUGAACCAUGAAGUGCUUUUGCCGCACUUUCAAUCCACUUCUCAUUAAUUUCAAACAUAUCUCAUUAAUAUUUUAAUAUUUAACGAAUAUAUAGAACAAGUCCGAAUGUUUUCGCAAACAUUAUCUACCAUCACACUCAACUCAAUACGGUGAACCGAUUAGUGAAAAAAAUGUGUGUGAUAAGACAUUGUUGAUGGACAGACAAGGCGAAAUUUGAGACUACAAACAGCUUCGAGCUCAAAUCGCGUCGCCGAGCCUUCGUGGUUAUUUAUUUCAUUCAUUAAUACAUAAAUAUACAAAUAUUUCGGAUUUUGACAUUUGCGUGUGUAUGUCUAAUAAAGUUAUAGUUCAUCGUAUAUUAUAUUUAUGUUGUUGUUUUGUAUGAAUAUUGCUCAAAAUUAUUAUAAAAAGUAAUUUGGAAAACGCGUAAUUCAUGACUUGGUAAAUUGUGUAGACAUUUAGGAAUCGGCACAGCACAUUCGCGUAUUAAGAAUAUAUAUACAUAUAUUAAUUUCAAGUGUUAGGGUGAUCCUCUGAAAAUUUCAGAACCUUCAUAAUACAUAUUUCCAAAAAUAAAUGCAACUUUUAGUCAAAAGAGUAUGUUGGUUUACAAGUAUCCAUCCAGAUCCAUAGUUGGGGUAAGAAAUUAUAAUUUUCGUCGAAUUUUUAAUAAAACUCUUUUAAGGCAUUUAAACUUGAAUUUGUAAGGUAAAAUAUUUUAUUUGUUUCAUGUAUGUAGGUCAAAUUAGGUGUCGUUUUGUAAAAAUACUCCACAGAAAUUCAUCGUAGAAUUAUAUAUUGGGUUGACAAAUAUUUCCCUUCCGCUUUUUUGUCUUUUGGAUUUUGCGGCUAUGUAUAAACCGCUACAGAGCUCGUAUCUGGCAAUACUACAAAUCUUUGCAAGGUCUUGACAUAACCUACAAAACGACGUUAUGCAUGAUUAGUUUGGAUAUUUCGUACAACAGUUCGUUAUAGGCGUGUAAACAUGGAGUUCACUAACACCGAAAUUCGCGCUAUUUUAAAGUUUUCUUUCGUUAAGGCAAACCCGAACUGCGGAGGAAUGGUUUCGACGAUUCAGAGCGGGUGAAAACGACAUCAUAGAUAAGACAGCCGGCGGAAGACCUGUGACGACAAAUACCGAUCAAAUCAUGAUAAACAUCGAGUUAGACCGGCAUGUGGCAUCUCAUAAUAUCGCCCAGGAGAUGGGAGUUAGUCACCAAACCAUUUUAAACCAUCUGCAGAAGCCUGGAUACACAAAAAGGCUUGAUGUUUGGGUGUCGCAUGAUUUUUUUGUACCAAUUGCAUCAAUAUAGUAACUUUCCAUUUAAAAAUGACUCCGGAAGCAUAUAAAGUGAUAAAAAUGGAUUGACUCAGAAGCGCCACUCCAUAAUCUUAAAAUAAAGUUUCGAAAUUUUUGAAACAGCUGUGUUUGGAACAUAAGAUCACACAUUUCGCAAGCACGUUUCUUUUGUCAGAAAAGUAGAAAUUUGGUUGGUAAAAUUUUUGACUAUUAUUGGCCUACAUAUACCACUCAUUAAGCAUGCUCUUCGAUAAUAUAAAACUAUUUCCGUCGUCGAAUUAUCGACUACCCUAAUAAUAUGCAUAUGUAUCGAAUACUCCACACAUGCUUAAAUAUUCACACUCGUUCGCCUGUACGGGGACGCUCGCUAAUAUGCCAUAGUGGUAAUAGAUUAUUCUGCAGUGAUUACAAAAGCAAUAAAUUACACCUGGGAAAAAUCUCAUGCGUGUUGUUGUGGCUGUAAAACGAAAACAUCUACUCUGCAAUCAUCCCCUUCCACACUCCUCGCAUACAACAGUCGCAUCUACUCGCAUACGGUAGUUAAGCAAGCAGCUCAACUUGUCACCGACAUUUACUAUUCUGCGGUGGCAAAGGUGUCACACAGGGUGAAAUUGUGUCUAUUAACACGCCCACCAGCGACAAACAGUGCAGAGAAAUGUCACGGGUAAAAUGCACGGUCUACAAAGGGGUUGCAUGUUGACAAUUAAGUCGUGUAACCUCGCUUGGCAUACAUAAAAACAGGUAAUAUACCAUAAUACCGGUAAUAAAUUAUAGGUUCGACGGUGAAGGGUGAACGGUUAAGUGAUGCGGCAGGUCGUUGGAGUGAGUUUGCAUAUGAAACAGUUUUGGCAUUUAAAAGGUGACUAGCGAAAUUACAUGAAUGCAACGAGUAAUUGAACUCUCGAGCUCUUUUGGGUAGACUUUGGUGCAAUGGAGAUAGGAAGAGUGAAUGAGAGAGAGUGAGGAUUGUGAUACCGCGAAGCAUGAUUUCCAAGCAUAUAGAAUUAUCAAUGAAUCAAGUAUGUUUCUUGUAAUUGCAGUUCAACUUUAAAGGUUACUUGGAACUGAGCUUUGUGUAUUCACGAAAGAUAUAUGUGCAAAUAUAUACAGUGGAUCAAGGUAGUUCAGUGCAUUAAAUAAUGUUGCGUAAGGUUAUCAGUUUGAUUAAUGUCACCAUAUUUUGUAAAAUAAAUAUUCAAUAUUGUAUCAAGGUAACAGUAAUUGCGCUCUUAAUUGACUCAAUGAUAUGAUUCAAAUAUUUUCGUAAAAAUAGUAUUUACAAAUAAAAAUUCCUUACAAAAUACAUGACCAUUUUUUAUAUAUUCCUCAAUUUUGAAAUUAUUUAUCUUAGGAUUGAAAAAUUCGAAGUUUUGGCAGUAUUCACAGGUCCUCUGAAAAAAUCAUAAACUUUUCCUCGAUUUUUUUACGUCCUAUAAUGACAUGCAAUAUUUUAGUUUAUUUAUUUUUUAGAUCACUUAAUUUUUCUAGAUAAUCAAUUAAAAAAUGAAGUUUUCCGACAAACUUUUAUACCCACAUUAUGUCACUAUACAAGUUACCCUGAGAAGGUAUGGAAAGCCAUUGAUUUUUAGGUCGAGAAAUUAUUUUUUACCUAACGCUAGGUGGCGCUGUAGUUAAAUUCGAAUAUUUUGAGACCACAUAAAACGUUCUUCAAUACUGUGUUAUAGAUAAUGUUACGGGGAGGAAUUGAUUUGUUAAUUAUCAGAUGAGAUCCUUUAGAUCUGUUUGUCUAUGUCGAUCAUAAAUUCGAUCAUAAAUGGUAAUAUUGUGGAAAAUAACGGUAAAUCGCUGUUUUUCUUUCGAGAAACUGAUCUUUAUAGUUACCUAAAACUUAUCAUAGAUGUCGCUGUGGUACAUUACUUCUCACUUUUUAUAAUUUUUGAGUGAAAAAAUACUGUUUUUAAUGUAGUAUAUAAUGAAUGUUGGCGACUCUCGAUAGCGAAAAGUGAUUUUCUGGUUCAAGGAAUAAAACUUUGAUGUUUGUUUGCAACUAAAACUCACACAAGAUGACGCUGUGGUACAUUUUGUGAAGUAUUAUAUUGUAAAAUUUAAUUUUCUUCCAAGAAUUUAAAUUACUACACACAUAAACUAUCUUAAACCCUUUAAGCGACUAUUAGCGCUUAUAAAACACAUUUAACAAUAUAUUAAUGCAUAUGUAAGUGCAUUAGGAUAAUUGUUGAGAACCAAUUCACCUGUCGAUUUAACCAUAUUUACAUGUUUGCAUUGUAAUUACCCAAAAAAAUAAUUAUUUGUAUAGUUAACAGGGUUAAGUGUCAAAAGGAUGGGCCAAAGACGACACCGGUCAGCUAUUGAAUAUAAAAUUAAUAUGCACGCAUCGAGUUUUUGUUGUUAUAAAUCGACUACCGACAAAUAUUGUCAAAUGUUAGCUUUCGAAAUGUAAGUCAGCCAUUUGACAAUGAUGCGAGCUGUAGAUAAUGGGCUUCAAAAUGCAAACCCCUUAUAUUAGUGGACACAACAAAACAACGUCAUAUGUAUGCAUACAGACAAAUAUAAUACACACGUGGACAUUUCGGACCCUCUUACAAGGGUAUCAUCACCGUUAUACAAACAUAGGUUUGUAUGCCUAGCUGAAAUAUGCGCGUUAAGAAAUCUGAAAGGGACGCUAACAUACAACAAACCAAAAACAAAUAGCAUACAACAACAACAAGGUAAACAAUUUAAGUAACGAUGAAAGACAUUAUUUGUUAUUACAUUAGCGACAAUUACCGAAAGUUAUUAGUACACGAAAAGAAACCCUCCAUAGAACAGUUGAGUUACAUACUCAAUGCGGAUAUCGAAGAAACUUAUCUAUGCAUAGCUACUGUAUUAAACUGUUAAAUAAAGUAGAUAAGAAGUACCUUCAUUAACCACCCUUUCUUCUAUUUGAUUAGAGCUUCAAUCAGUUUCGGAAUAAUUCACAACAAUUCGUUAGGCUCCUCGCUUUAUAAGUGUUUAUUGGAACUAUAUAAAAUGAACUCAAUAUAGCUAAAAUAUCCCCAUUUAAUUUUUUUUUUACACAGAGGAGGUCAAACAGUUUGAUUCUAUUACCACCAGCCCACAAUUUCGUGAUUUUCGAUAUCUCUCAUCUUUUACACUCAAUGAUUCGCAUAUUUCUCACAGAUUAUUUCAAUCGACUACCUCAAAUGUUCAUCAUUCCUCAAUACCUUCUUAAUCUGAUCUGAAAAAACCGAAAUUAGCUUCGCCUCCGCUCCAUAUAAUGCGGGAAUCCCCGUAAUAUAAGCGGUUUUUCACUGCUUAUUGGUUGCUAAAGAGAUCAAUAGGUCAACAUAUAUAUAAUGCAGUAUGUUGAUACUGGAGAAUUAGGUGCAGAUAUAGGUACAGAUUUUCCAGAUGGUGUUAGCUCCUUUUAACCAAUUAUUUAAAAGUAGAGUAGAGUUUUCAGUGUCUCCAAAUAUAUCCGAUCGUGCUUGGUAAGAAAGAAGAUCAUUCUACGAGUCCCCAAUCGAAGUUAAAACAAAAUAUUUUGUUGGCAAGACCAUUUUUUAAUAUAUAAUAUAUAUAUGCUGUUAUUUUUUUUGCGAAAUUUAACGCUCAAAUAGUUCUCUCUACGGCGCUCUCUCUUUUCCACACUCUCUCUCUCUCUCUAUCAAUC